rnacentral:tRNA from 2 species
GGGCGUGUAGCUCAGUUGGUAGAGCGUUCCAUUCGCAUAAGUGAUUUGGAAAGGUCUUUGGUUCGAUUCCUAACUCGUCCA